AUUGAACGCUGGCAGCAUGCCUAACACAUGCAAGUCGAACGAGUGGCGGACGGGUGCGUAAUGUCUGGGAAACUGCCCGAUGGAUAGGGAUAACUACUGGAAAAGGCAGCUAAUACCGUAUACAAUCCGAUGUGCCCAGAUGGGAUUAGCUAGUAGGUGAGGUAACGGCGCACCUAGGCGACGAUCCAUAGCUGGUCUGAGAGGAUGAGCAGCCACACUGGAACUGAGACACGGUCCAGACUCCUACGGGAGGCAGCAGUGGGGAAUAUUGCGCAAUGGGCGCAAGCCUGAUGCAGCCAUGCCGCGUGUAUGAAGAAGGCCUUCGGGUUGUAAAGUACUGUCAGCGGGGAGGCGUUACCCACAGAAGAAGCACCGGCUAACUCCGUGCCAGCAGCCGCGGUAAUAC
rnacentral:rRNA from 1 species